GACGAACGCUGGCGGCGUGCCUAAUACAUGCAAGUCGAGCGAAGUUUUUCUGGUGCUUGCACUAGAAAAACUUAGCGGCGAACGGGUGAGUAACACGUAAAGAACCUGCCUCAUAGACUGGGACAACUCUUGGAAACGAUAGCUAAUACCGGAUAACAGUAUUUCUCGCAUGCGCAGUAUUUAAAAGUUGGUUAUGCUAACACUAUGAGAUGGCUUUGCGGUGCAUUGGCUAGUUGGUGGGGUAAAGGCCCACCAAGGCGACGAUGCAUAACCGACCUGAGGGGGUGAUCGGCUACACUGGGAGUGAGACAGGGCCCAGACUCCGGCGGGAGGCAGCGGUAGGGAAUCUUACGCAAGGGGCGAGAGCCUGACGGAGCAACGCCGAGUGAGUGAAGAAGGAUUUCGGUUCGGAGAGCGCUGUUGUUAGGGAAGAAGGGAUAUGUAGUAAGUAUACAUGUAAGAGACGGUACCUAACCAGAAAGCCACGGCUAAAUACGUG
rnacentral:rRNA from 1 species